GCCAGUGUGGUGUAUUGGUUUGAGCAUUCUAGUAUGACCCUGGAGAGCAGGAUUCGAAUCCCCGCUCAGCCA